rfam:Oryza glaberrima chromosome 7 Oglab07_0143_19, whole genome shotgun sequence.
UAUAAGGGAUUUUAUCCCUUUUAUUUGUACUGUUUGACCACUCGUCUUAUUCAAAAAAAUUUUGGAAUUAUUAUUUUUGACUUACUUUAUUAUCUAAAGUAUUUUAAGCACAACUUUUCGUAUUUUAUAUUUGCACAAACUUUUUGAAUAAGACGAGUGGUCAAACAAUGCAAACAAAAACUCAAAAUCUCUUAUA